rnacentral:rRNA from 1 species
GGGCGUAAAGAGCUCGUAGGCGGUUUGUCGCGUCUGCUGUGAAAAUCCGAGGCUCAACCUUGGACCUGCAGUGGGUACGGGCAGACUAGAGUGCGGUAGGGGAGAUGGGAAUUCCUGGUGUAGCGGUGGAAUGCGCAGAUAUCAGGAGGAACACCAAUGGCGAAGGCACAUCUCUGGGCCGUAACUGACGCUGAGGAGCGAAAGCGUGGGGAGCGGACAGGAUUAGAUACCCUGGUAGUCCACGCCGUAAACGGUGGGUGCUAGUUGUGGGCCACAUUCCACGUGGUCCGUGACGAAGUUAACACAUUAAGCACCCCGCCUGGGGAGUACGGUCGCAAGACUAAAACUCAAAGGAAUUGACGGGGGCCCGCACGAGCGGCGGAGCAUGCGGAUUAAUUCGAUGCAACGCGAAGAACCUUACCAAGGCUUGACAUAUAGAGGAAACGUGCAGAAAUGUACGCCCCGCAAGGUCUCUAUACAGGUGGUGCAUGGUUGUCGUCAGCUCGUGUCGUGAGAUGUUGGGUUAAGUCCCGCAACGAGCGCAGCCCUCGUCCUAUGUUGCCAGCACGUAAUGGUGGGAACUCAUGGGAGACUGCCGGGGUCAACUCGGAGGAAGGU